GCCCAGACUCCUACGGGAGGCAGCAGUGGGGGAUAUUGCACAAUGGGGGAAACCCUGAUGCAGCGACGCCGCGUGGGCGAAGAAGUAUUUCGGUAUGUAAAGCCCUAUCAGCAGGGAAGAAGAAAUGACGGUACCUGAGUAAGAAGCACCGGCUAAAUACGUGCCAGCAGCCGCGGUAAUACGUAUGGUGCAAGCGUUAUCCGGAUUUACUGGGUGUAAAGGGAGCGCAGGCGGCACGGCAAGCCUGAUGUGAAAGCCCGGGGCCCAACCCCGGGACUGCCCUUGGAACUGCAUGGCUGGAGUGCGGGAGGGGCAGGCGGAAUUCCUGGUGUAGCGGUGAAAUGCGUAGAUAUCAGGAGGAACACCGGCGGCGAAGGCGGCCUGCUGGACCGCGACUGACGUUGAGGCUCGAAAGCGUGGGGAGCGAACAGGAUUAGAUACCCUUGUA
rnacentral:rRNA from 1 species